CAUGCAGUCGAGCGGUAGCACAGAGAGCUUGCUCUCGGGUGACGAGCGGCGGACGGGUGAGUAAUGUCUGGGAAACUGCCUGAUGGAGGGGGAUAACUACUGGAAACGGUAGCUAAUACCGCAUAACGUCGCAGACCAAAGUGGGGGACCUUCGGGCCUCAUGCCAUCAGAUGUGCCCAGAUGGGAUUAGCUAGUAGGUGGGGUAACGGCUCACCUAGGCGACGAUCCCUAGCUGGUCUGAGAGGAUGACCAGCCACACUGGAACUGAGACACGGUCCAGACUCCUACGGGAGGCAGCAGUGGGGAAUAUUGCACAAUGGGCGCAAGCCUGAUGCAGCCAUGCCGCGUGUGUGAAGAAGGCCUUCGGGUUGUAAAGCACUUUCAGCGGGGAGGAAGGCGAUAAGGUUAAUAACCUUGNCGAUUGACGUUACCCGCAGAAGAAGCACCGGCUAACUCCGUGCCAGCAGCCGCGGUAAUACGGAGGGUGCAAGCGUUAAUCGGAAUUACUGGGCGUAAAGCGCACGCAGGCGGUCUGUCAAGUCGGAUGUGAAAUCCCCGGGCUCAACCUGGGAACUGCAUUCGAAACUGGCAGGCUAGAGUCUUGUAGAGGGGGGUAGAAUUCCAGGUGUAGCGGUGAAAUGCGUAGAGAUCUGGAGGAAUACCGGUGGCGAGGGCGGCCCCCUGGACAAAGACUGACGCUGAGGUGCGAAAGC
rnacentral:rRNA from 1 species